rnacentral:lncRNA from 1 species
GCCGCCCGCACCGGCAGCGAGGAGCCCCGCAGCGCCCGCCGCACCGGCCCCUCGGUCCCCGGGGGCCAGAGACUUUGGCUGCUAGAGCUCGGGGGCCUGACACCCCACAGGGCCUGCCCCAGAUCCCCGGGGAGCACACGGGAACACCCGAAUCCCCGGCAGCUCUCGGAGGUUGUAAAAUACACCCCCCGGUCCCCCUCCUCAGCCUGCCCUCUUCCCGAGGCCGCAGAGAAGCACCACCGCGGGAGAGAAACCUCCGGCAAGUCGAGGACAGUGGCCGUUGCAGCCCCCAGACCUCCUCCCCCGGUUACCUGUGAGGACUCCGACACGGAUUUGAUGGUCGUGGUUUGUGAGGAUCAUUCCCUCGGUCG